CAUGUUUCUGGAAACGCUGCAGCAUUUAACUUCAAUUUUAAUCUGGAUAACGCCAAAGCUUUUCCUCAAAUUCACCCCUGGAGUCAGCUCAUAGAUGCUCUGAUUUUGUCUACCAUUGCUCCUCCUUAAUAUCUCUCGCACAGGUGCCAUUGACCUUUAGAUGGGCUGUACGGUGUGGGGUUCGGUGCCAUGGAUCUGCUUCUCCAGGGACCAGGAUCUUGAGAUCUUCAGGCUGGGUUUCCAUGGAGGCAUGGAGCUGCUUUUCCUCCUUCAUAACUGCACUCAAAACAGCCCUGUUGCUCUAGAAUGGAGACUUGGGCAACUCCUUCUGGCACAGAUUUGUUCACCUCAGGUGAAAUUCAGAUAGAAGCAAGCUGCAGGCAGUUUCACCUCUAAGUCCAUGGGUUCUCAACUGGUAACGUCCUCUUAUGGAUGUUAGCCCAUGAGGUCAAUCCUGUAGCAAUCUAAGGCUUGAGAAAAAUUAAUCUUCUGGAAAAUUCCAAGAAUACAUCUUAGGGAAACUGGCUCUACCUUUAUGACUUGGAUCACACAAGGAUAUGCUUUUCAUCUUGGACUAGAACUGAGAGCCAAUGGAUGUGUUAUCUAAAACUAUCCCAGUGUGUUCACUAUACAGAGGAAGAUUCUGAGAUUCAAGACUCAAGACUGAAGAAGAUCAUUAUUUUUAUUAUUUUAGUCUUAUGCACAAAAUGAUAUCUACUGAAUAAGCAGGUUUUUAAUAGGUGACUUAUAUAUGUUAGCAAAAAUAAACACUUUGUCUUUUAGAUCUAUUCUAGUUUUUCAGUAGCUGUAGACUUAAGUGCUAACUUUUAGCCCAUAGGAUAAGAAGAAACCAAGUCCUAAAAGUAGGCCAGCACCAGGGUUCAGGCCUCUGACUUCAAGCCAAGGGCUCAUCAUCUUGAAUUGCGCACGAAUUUUUACACAGCGCCAAAGGAAACUGCCUGUACUUACUGUUGUAGGUGCUUUGCUGGAUUCAGGAUGCAGACAAGGUCCACGCAUUGUGGUUGGAAUGUGGCAGAAUUGGCCGGAAGCAGAAUUGCCUGUUUCCAGUGAGGCCCCCUUGCCCUCUUGGAAGCAAUUGCUGUGUAGGAAGUCUGAACACCUCACAGGAGAUGGAGGCCAGUUCCUGCCUGCUGUAGCCACCCAGCUGAAGGGGGUCCAGACACGAGUGGAGGCAUUGUGACCUCCAGCCUCAGCAGACACCUCCACACUGCGCAGGGCAGAGCAACCACGCCACCGAGUGAGCCCCAUUUGCAGACUUUGAGCAAAUAAUGAUUGUGCACGUUGGAUCAUUUAUUGAGUUUCUCUCGUACACCAAGCACUGGUUGGAUCCCAUGCUUGUUGGUGACAGAACUGCUGUGAUGCCAGUCCUGCGUCCCCUUCAGCCUGUGAAGGAGGAGCACCAUGAACCAGCCAACUAACACGUGUCUAAUCACAUAAAGGGAACUGAACACCAGAGAGCCACAGUCACUUUCCGAAGGUCACACAGCAAGUGCAAAUGAGGCUGGCCUCUGUUUAGGCUGCUGAUAGACACCUGUCUUCAUGCUAAGGCCUAGCUGACUGGCUGAGCCAACCUACUCCUCCAGGGCCUGCCCAACCCUGAUGGGUGCCUGACGCAGGCCUGGAACAUCUUGCUGCCUUCUCGUACUCACAGCUUAGGAAGCAAAAAGCAAGCCAGGUGUUCAUACUUCUCUGCUGGGGACAUAACAAAUGGCAUGACAAAUACUAAAGCAAUAAAUGAACUGAAAAAUAAAUGAGUUGGCAAUUAUUUAUCACAGAAUUAUCUGAGAUGGUAUUUCAAAUUAUUUCUCCCCUUAAAAAAAAGGAUAUUUUUUUACGGCAUGAAGAGUCAAAUGUAAAAGUAAAGAAAUGAAAACAAUCAGAUGGAGAGAGAUGAAUAUUUAUCAGAUUCCAGGAUGAACAUGGGCUUUGUAAUUGUAAUUCUUUGGGGAAAAUUAAUUCACCAGAAGCCCCCCUGGGAAGGGCAUGGUAAUUGCUGAAAAGAUGCCUGAUAAGCCACAUACACGGGAGGGAGAUUCCCUUAGGAAGGGCAAAGGGAUUGCAAAACUGCCUUCCAGAAAGCUGAGGACCUUGCUAAUGAGCUGACUUUAUGUUCUGCUAAGAGCUGGUAGAUGGUUUAGGGACAAAUAUCAGGCACUGUGCAAUGGAGGGGAGGGAAUUUGAGGUUUUGGUGGGGUUCAGGAAGAUACCCUGGGGGGAAUUCAUUUGUAUUUCAUAAAAAUUAAUAACUUCUGAAAACAGCAACAACAAAAAUGUACCAUGAGCAGAAAUAAGAGUACUUAAGAAACUAAGAGAAAUGUUUUCAGCAAAGAUGAAUAAAGUUUAGUUGGUAUAUUUUCAGCACUCCCUAUGAAAGGCACUCAGACUCCUGAAGAAAAUUGUUCAAGGUCAUUAGAUAAGUCAGGGGCCCCUGAGAAAAAGAGCAGAAGAUGGGAGGAUUUUAUUCAGGGAAAUGGGGGGUGAGAGGGAAGAGAGGGGAGGACUGACAGAAAGCUUGACUCCAGAGAGAGAGAGAGAAAGUUGGGAGGGAGUGCGCUGGACACCCUGGGGAUUCCAGGAACACCAGAAAGAGGACUCUCCAGUUCCAGGAGCUGGGCCUUGGUCUCCCAGCCAUGCCCUGGUGAGUGGGAGCCGCCCCUGGGCAGCGUGGCCUCAGUCCCAGUGCAGCCUUGGUUUCCCAGCAGCAGCGGGGCCUGGGUCAUCUAUACUUUCUGUGGUUGGAGUCUUGAGGUGCAUUUUGUCGGCCAGCACAGAUGUGACAAGAGAGUCCCAAAGGAAGGCAGGCAGAUGGCUGAGGAGCAUUUCUGUAGGGUGUCCUCAGCCCUCUGAGAAAGCUUCCCACAGCAAAGUUCCGUGCUGAGGCAUAGAGACCUUCCGCACUGUCCUCAGGGCCUAAACUAUGUAACCACAGCAGAAUCAAAGAUCUCCAAAUCUCAAGCACAGUCCCUUAGUGCACCUCCCCAUCCUGUGGUUGUCCAACCUGUGUCUGAAUACCUCCCAUAACAGGGUGCUCAUUCACUUCUGUGACAUUUCUGGACACGUCUUGAAGAGCUGUGGGUACAGAGCACCCUUGACUUAACUAACUCCAUCUUAGAAAAAGGCUCCAUUUUAUGUUCACAGAGCACUUUACCAACAAGGAUAAGAUAUUUUGUUUAAUAAAUGAAUUAAAAAAAAUAAGACUGCAUCCAACAAGAUAAGGUCAUAAACAAGAAUGCUCUUCUCUAUCUGUUCUCACCAGAGGACUCUGACUAGAAAAGAUUAGGCCUUCAGCAGCCUGGAAUUGGCCAUCCUAACUGACACCAUCUUGCAGUCACUUGUGAUAAGAGCUGGGCAUCUGCUUCCAAAGGCUCUGCAGCAUCAAAUACUCUGCAUUGCAAAACCAGUGGACCACCUCGCCUAGACAAGGGCUCCUUUAGCUACCCCUGGACUGGUUUGUUCACUUUUUCUUCUAUCUGUUUUGCCCUUUGAUGUUAAAUGUUACUUUGUUUGUUGUAGAAUGUUUAGCCUAUAACAUUCAUAUAUUGAUUAAGUAUACUAUGAUGUAUGGUGUGCAAUACUGACUGGCUUGUGGGGUGACUUGAGCCUGUGUGCUCAGGACUAUGUGCCCGUGACUCCCUAGUGCAUGGGAAGUGUGAUGGAGAAUUGCCUUCUUGGGAACUCCAUGUAGCUCAUGGCUUUUGUGAUUGAAAUACCUUCAAUAAAAGCCUGACAUUGUGGAAAGACACA
rnacentral:lncRNA from 1 species